AUGCAAGCACUGGAGACACUAAAACAUGUCAGUAUCUACAAGCAGCCACUCGACUUCCAAUGGGGCCUUGGACAGCUAAAGAACUUGAGGAACUUGAGGCUAUUUGGCCACGUUGAGUUUGGCACUGAGGUCAUGGAGGAGUGUCACAAAGCCAUCCUCUCUUCCCUGCAUAAACUAGGAACCCAGAACCUUCGCUCUCUGAUUAUUAGCGAUGACUGUUACAACAUGUGCCUCUUACAGGAACCUUUGAGCCUCGAAAAACUUAUUGAGUGCUCUUUGGAAGUCCCGCAGGUUCCGACAUGGGUGAGCUCCCUCAGAAACGUCCAACAGCUAUGCCUUCAUGUGGAGAGAGUCGAGCAGAAUGAUCUCUGCAUCCUUGGAGCAUUACCCACUCUGCUCAUUCUGCAUUUGUCAGAAGAAGAAGAUUCAAAGGAAAAGCUCACAGUCGGUGGUGCGGUUGGGUUCCAAUUCUUGCGGAUUUUUAUUUAUAUUGCAAGUUCUCACCCAGUAGAUCUGAAGUUUGUGGCAGGAUUCAUGCCCAAGCUAGAGACACUUGUGCUUAUGUCUUUGCGUGUACUUGAAGGCGACUCUCUGGACUUUGGAAUCAUCAAGAACCUCCCCUGUCUCAGUACUAUCAAAUGGGUAGUAGAGGGGGACAAUGACAUUGUUGAAGCUGCAAACACUGCCAUGGAGAGAGCAGCCUGCGCACAUCCCAACCACCCUACUGUACUCUUCACAGUUGAUAGACUUCCCAGAGAUGUCUGCUCUGGAAGGAUUUACCGAACAAGCCAAAAACCAGGAACGAGGGAGUAG
rnacentral:rRNA from 1 species